UUCAACAUGUGAGUCAAACGCACAUCGGACACAGGCGGACAGACAGACAGACAGACAGACCAACUAGCACAAACGCACACACAGUGACAUCCUCAGGGGCCUUUAUUGCUGGCCAGCACACAUGGAGGUCAUUUCAACAGCCUGUCUUCCCCUAAAACCCUUAAAUGGCUUUAACAGCGGGCCGAGCUAGACCAGACACAAACUAAACAGGCGCAUGAGUGUGAUUGCACACGUCCAAUGGCACACAGGAGUAUUUCAAGAUACACACACGCAACCAGCCGAGCUCAAGGGGAACGUAUAACAACGGGGAUUACAACUCCGGCAAUUGAAUUACACAUUGGGAGACAUGAGCAGGACUGAAUGCAUAUAUGUCCGCUGUGCUUAAACCUUCUGUCAAACUCAAACGUUGGUGAAGCCAUGGUUGGAAUAUGGUUACAAGAAGCCACCUGGCUGACUGAGGGAAACAACGGUUGGCUGCUGUCUGCUAAAGCCGAUAGCAGGAACGCAGCCCUUACACUAAGCACCAAACUCUGGAGCUGGAGAAGGAGUUUCCCUUACAACAUGUAUUUAUCGACAAACAGCGCCGCCUAUGAGAUCAGCCAAAACCUUGACCUAACAGACAGGCAGUUCAAAUCUGGUGUCCAGAAUCGCAGAAUGAAGAUGAAGAAGCAACACCGAAGUUCCAGGGAUACUGUGAAAACAAAACAGUGAAAACUGAUUAAACCAAGGACAUAGAAGACUGACCCUCUGAUUCAUUGACUGAAUGACAAAAUCAUUAAGUUAUUCAAAGCAUACAAUAGACACACGCACGCACGCACGCCACACACACACACAACACACACCACACACAACACACACACACACACACACACACACACACACACACACACACACACACACACACACACACACACUCAUACAAAGAUAUAUAAUCAAACACUUAAUAACACACGUUUAAUUCUGUUCCGUGUCACUUGUCCGUUUCAUCAUUGUUAUAUGGAAAUUCCAUUUAUAAUGUAGGCCUACUUUAUAUCCUGUGGGAGCUAGAAUUCAAUUUUUAAUUAAUAAGUUUAUUAGCUUGUCUUUUUGAUGCCCACUUUGAAUUAGCGCACAAUUGGUCACCUUUUUGCUUAUAGUAUUUAGUAAGGCUCCACAUCUAGUACAUUCAGCACUUUUAAAAUAGUCUUGAACAUUGCGUUUCUACGUCUCCAGUGAAGUCAGAGGGGAGCUUUUUGGAUUCCACUGCGUAAAGACAUUAGAACAAAUAUAGUAAUCCCUUGCUGACCCAGCACUUGUGUUACGUAUUGGUACUUGUUACAUCAGAAUAGCAUUGUUUUGCAUGUGUUUAAUUUACACCCAAUAUGUGGCACACAUUUGAUAUAUGCAUGUAUUGCCUGAUAGAAUGCCGGAUAGAUUGAUAACACACAUUCAAUUCGGCUUUCCAAUUUAAUGAUUAAAAUCUUCCAAUGCUUUUUUCCUCGAAGGAAUGUAUUAAUAAAGGAACGCCUAUUCAAAGUUCA